AUUGAACGCUGGCGGCAGGCCUAACACAUGCAAGUCGAGCGGAUGAAGGGAGCUUGCUCCUGGAUUCAGCGGCGGACGGGUGAGUAAUGACUAGGAAUCUGCCUGUUAGUGGGGGAUAACGUCCGGAAACGGGCGCUAAUACCGCAUACGUCCUGAGGGAGAAAGUGGGGGAUCUUCGGACCUCACGCUAUCAGAUGAGCCUAGGUCGGAUUAGCUAGUUGGUGGGGUAAAGGCCUACCAAGGCGACGAUCCGUAACUGGUCUGAGAGGAUGAUCAGUCACACUGGAACUGAGACACGGUCCAGACUCCUACGGGAGGCAGCAGUGGGGAAUAUUGGACAAAGGGCGAAAGCCUGAUCCAGCCAUGCCGCGUGUGUGAAGAAGGUCUUCGGAUUGUAAAGCACUUUAAGUUGGGAGGAAGGGCAGUAAGUUAAUACCUUGCUGUUUUGACGUUACCAACAGAAUAAGCACCGGCUAACUUCGUG
rnacentral:rRNA from 1 species